rnacentral:rRNA from 1 species
CCUACGGGGGGCAGCAGUGGGGAAUAUUGCGCAAUGGGCGAAAGCCUGACGCAGCGACGCCGCGUGAGGGAUGAAGGUCCUCGGAUCGUAAACCUCUGUCAGGAGGGAAGAACCGCCACGGUGCUAAUCAGCCGUGGUCUGACGGUACCUCCAAAGGAAGCACCGGCUAACUCCGUGCCAGCAGCCGCGGUAAUACGGAGGGUGCGAGCGUUAAUCGGAAUCACUGGGCGUAAAGCGCACGUAGGCUGCUUGGUAAGUCAGGGGUGAAAGCCCGCGGCUCAACCGCGGAAUUGCCUUUGAUACUGCCGAGCUAGAGUCCGGGAGAGGGUAGUGGAAUUCCAGGUGUAGGAGUGAAAUCCGUAGAGAUCUGGAGGAACAUCAGUGGCGAAGGCGACUACCUGGACCGGUACU